rnacentral:rRNA from 1 species
GACGAACGCUGGCGGCGUGCUUAACACAUGCAAGUCGAACGGUGAAGGGACUGGUUUUGCUGGUCCUGGAUGAGUGGCGAACGGGUGAGUAACACGUGAGUAACCUGCCCCCUUCUUCUGGAUAACCGCAUGAAAGUGUGGCUAAUACGGGAUAUUCUGGGUCUGUCGCAUGGUGGGCCUGGGAAAGAUUGCGCCUUUUUUGGUGUUUUUGGUGGGGGAUGGGCUCGCGGCCUAUCAGCUUGUUGGUGGGGUGAUGGCCUACCAAGGCGGUGACGGGUAGCCGGCCUGAGAGGGUGGACGGUCACACUGGGACUGAGACACGGCCCAGACUCCUACGGGAGGCAGCAGUGGGGAAUAUUGCACAAUGGGCGCAAGCCUGAUGCAGCGACGCCGCGUGAGGGAUGGAGGCCUUCGGGUUGUGAACCUCUUUCGCCAGUGAAGCAGGCCUGCCUCUUUUUGUGGGUGGGUUGACGGGAGCUGGAUAAGAAGCGCCGGCUAACUACGU